rnacentral:tRNA from 2 species
AUCACUUUAGUAUAAUAAAUACAAAUGACUUCCACUCAUUUAAUCUUAUAAAUAAGAAGUGAUA